CUUUCAACCUUAUCUCCUAAGUUAUGCUGUCUAAAUCAUUCAUCAUUCUUGUUGGCCUUCUCUAGAGCUGAGUGUGUUGCUAUCUAAGCCAGACUGUCAGCCUCAAGCCAGCAGAACAAUUACCUUAUUUAUGUCUUGGUCCUCUUCCCCCAAGUUCAUCCAGAACGAGCAGCUUCUCCUUCUUUCUGUGGCAAUGGAUUGUUCUAUAGCUGCUCCUCAGUUUGUGGCUUUCUGCGAUGUCAGAGCUUUUUAGCAAUGCGGCUGCCCUGUCAGUCUCCUUACUACAAAAUUGAUUUCUCUGGCCUAAGCAGAAAGCUUUUAACAAUUUUAUUGGAUUGCACUUUUGUCGCUUGUGUUGCUGUGCCAUUUGGAAAACUGCUGCAAUGUUUUUACAGUCCAAUUAUGUCCCUGAACGUCUUUCUGGCCAUUCCUUCUUUGACAGAACCCAUGGGAUGCCUUCUUUCACACCAUCAAAUUGUUUAAAAUGCUGAAUGAAGCUGCUAACCUGACAGAUUCCUGCAAAAUAAUAGCAGCAUUCACUGUCCUGCUGGGUGGUCAAGUGCUCUUGAAGAGGCUUUUUUUUCAGCUGCAUAUCCUUCUCAAUGAUUAACUGUUGUAUUUCCUCAAGCUGGUUUGAAGGAUGUUGCCUCAGAUGCUGCUCCUGUCAAAAAGGGGAAAUGCUUUGGUGUGACACAGACUGUUCUUGAUGGCUGGUAAACAAUGCAAAGAAGGGAUAAAAAAAACCCUGUUUACUCUGUUCCAGAAUUACUCUAGGGAUGAAAGUUGUACGAAUGGACCGAUAAUUUCUUGGAUGCUUCCUUUCUGAAGACAAACAUAAUGUUUGUCCUUCACUUUCCAAAGACUUCUGUUUUCUGCAGACCUCAAAGAAAACUGCCUGUAUUUCAGGUUGCAUCAGUGUUUAGAUCAUGAUGUGCUGCAGGAUUAAUAAGGCCCUGCCCACCUGCAGACAUCCGCUUUAUCUGAACGUUCUCCAGCCUGUUCAUCUGGAUGUGUGUUUAUUUGCUUGUUAAUUUGCUCUGCUUAUGGAUGAUCCUUUUUGUAAAGUUUAAAACAAAAGAAAAAUUGACUGCGCCAAGCUGCACUGCAGCUCGUUCUGAUCUUUCCCAUCCGGUCAUGAGCCUGCUCAUCAUCUUCCUUUAGCUUGUAAGGUAUCCAGAGGCUCUUUUCUUGCCUGUUUUGUCCCCUGUUAAUCAGGACUCCUUUUUGCCUGUUGCUCUCAUGCCCCCAGUUGUGCUGGAAGCCGUGGUUCAGAGCCUGGUCCCGGCUGGGGUGAGGGCUGGAGGGCAGAGGAAGCGCAUGCUCAGAGCAAAUGAAAAGCAUCACCACUUACCAAGACAGUGACCACAAAUUACAGUGUAUACAAAACAGGCUUUAUUGCCAACUGCCUGCCAAGCCAGGUUUUUCCUUCUGGUCUUCCGUCCUCAUUACUCUACCAAAUAUGGUCCAAGUGCCUGGUGGGAAUGUGGGGAGGCAGAACCCUGCCAGUGUGCACGUCAGCCGGUUCCAGCAUUCAGCGUUCCCCUGCUCAGCGUGCUCUCAAAAGUGGUUUGAUGUUGCUCCUAGGUAGUUCACUGGCCUGUUUUCUUUACACGCCGUGUUUUUUUGCACUCAUCAAUGGUAAUUUUGAAAAUGUUAAGAAAUUUUUUUGAAAGUGCAUGUGAUGCAGAUUUUUUGUUCUGUUGCUGUGCUCUUGAAGUAGAACAAAAAUGGGAAGUGUACACUAAAAAGCAGCAGCCAGAGGGUUCAGGGCUCUGUUUGUGCGUAUGUAGGAUGCACUGUAAGUGUAAGAGAUUUUCAGCUUGCUAGGGCACAGCUUCAUGAUACUGGUCCUGAAAUGGUCUUACUUACACCUACAACCUUUUAUUUUACCUGUAAGUGGGGAAGCUGUAUAGCAACUUCUUAAUGCACAUGGGUUUUGUGAUGCUCAGUUUAUGCAAGACUUCCAGAGCUGCAGAUUGACCAUAACAACGGGGUGGUCCAUGCGGAUUUGUGGAUGUUAGUAACACUGGGAUUAGAGUGGAUGUCUCUCCCUGGGUGAUGGAGGUGUAGUUUACACAACCCAAAGCUGAUUCAGCUGUUUGAUACUGUGUUGCUUCCUCUGGAGGAAAUGUAACGCCCUGCCUGGGAUUGGGAAAUGUCAUUUUUUACUUUUUUUUUUCCCUAAGCAGCUAGGAAGAGGAAGCAGCCAAGAGCUUUGUCGCUAUUGCAGAGCAGACCUUUGCUGAGCUACUUUCCCUCCCACGGGUACAGGCAAGACUGAGCAGCCUGUGACCAGCCACUCCUGGAUGUUUGACAACGUGCUACACCCACCCUGCUUUAGGGUUCCCAGUAGCAGAACAUGGGCGCUGUGGUUGUGCAGCAUGUGGCACUGAUGAAGCCACCUCUGCCACUGCACAUCUCCCCGCAGUCGCAGGUUACAUCUGCACCAUCACGGGCAUCCCAUGGGAUUGUGGACAUCCAGCGCUGGCACCUGGAGGAACAUCUGUCAGCACAAUACAAACAUGGUUUCUGCUUCUGCCAGAUCAAGAGAAAUUAGUGCAAUGAGACAAAGAAAUAGGAAAGGACCUGGAGCUGCUCUGCCGGGAGAGCCGGAGGCAGCAAAGGUAAAGCACCCUUCGGAAGUCCCUGAGGGGCAGAGGGCAGAGUGGGGUGCCCAGGCCCUGUUCAAAAGCCUGAGAUGACAGGGAAGGGUGACAUUCUAUUAAGAAGCCACUAAUGACCAUCUCUUUGGCAUUUCCUGAAAACUUUGUACGUUGGCUUUGCCUCGCCAUCAGCCUUGCCUUGCCGUCUGCCCGGGAGCGCUCUGAUGUCAGCAGCCAGCAAUCCUGCUCAACCGGCCCAGCCUACAAUUGCCUGAGACCCAGCUAAUCUGCCGUCUUAUCUCUCCUCCGCCCCCGAAUCGCCAUCCACUUCAGGCAUCAGGGGGAAGCUAAUAGACUAUUGAGCUUCCUUUUCGUGCUCAGACACCUCGUGUGACUUGGCUAUUUUCUCUCAUUUCUGUUUCCUAAACAACUCGGCUUCAAAGA